rnacentral:tRNA from 1 species
GUCCAGGGAUGGGAAUCGAACCCACAGUUUUCCGCUUACCGGGGUGAUGCCAUGUCCACUAGGCUACCCUGGA